rnacentral:lncRNA from 1 species
UUGUCCACCAAAAUGUAGAAUUUCUUACUUUCAAGGGCCAAGAAAAGGCUAAGAUCAGACUGCAAAUCUCUGCAAUCAGACAUUAAACGACAAAAGUUCAAUAGACAAAAGAAAAGCAGAUUACCCUGAAGAUUUAUUAAUGAAAUAACCAUAUCAUAUUAGCCUAUAGAAGUCAGGUAAACUCAGUAAGAUCACAUAUAUUCAGCAUAUACAUAAACACACUGAUUUAAACAUAUAUUUUUCAUCACCGUUUCGGCCUUCCCUAUAAUUUGCAAAUUAUAGAAAUUCAUCUAGAAGCUAAUAAUAACCAAAACCAAAGCCUCCGAUAAACAAAUCCAAAAUUAUCUGUGGAUUCUAUUUGGAAGAUUUCCAUUGAAAUAGUUUUACAAAACCAGAUAAAAGUCCAUUCUUAUUCUUCUAUUGUUCCUAUAAAGCAAUUCCUCGGAAACGUACAGCAUUGCCAAAUUUAAAAAAAAAAAAAAGCAUAUAAUCUCGUCAGAAAAAUGUAAUCAGCAAUUGGAGAAAAAGACAAUGUACGAAGAAUUUUAUUCAUAGAAUUAAAUUAUAAACUAAUAACUGAAGCCAAAGAUUUUUAAACUAAUGAAAUUCAACAUAGUUGCCUAAUUUAGAGACUGGUUAAAGGAAAAACAGAGCGUCCAUCCUCGUAUUUUCCCAUCAAAAUUAUGCUCAAAGCUCUGUUCAGCAAAUCACUCACGUGAGGGGAAACAAAACAAAGCUCAUUAAUAUCCAAAAAAAGGUACAGUAAUAUUUAAAUAUAUAUAUAUAAAGAGAGGAGGAGGGUAAAUUGACCUUGAUGAAAGGAAGUCCAUGACAAUUGAAGAGUAAACGAUGAAAAACAAAAUAUCGAACUUCGUAAUGUUUUCAUGCAUUAUGAUUAUGUUCUUUUCCCAUGGGGGCCAAGAAACCUGGGAAAUAAGCGAGACAUGCGGUGGGAUGAAUGUUACGGCUGUUCCCAUCCUAUUUACCUGCGCCUUUUGUCUUC